AUUGAACGCUGGCGGCAUGCCUUACACAUGCAAGUCGAACGGCAGCAUGGAGAGCUUGCUCUCUGAUGGCGAGUGGCGAACGGGUGAGUAAUGCAUCGGAACGUACCGUGUAAUGGGGGAUAACGUAGCGAAAGUUACGCUAAUACCGCAUACGACCUGAGGGUGAAAGCAGGGGAUCGCAAGACCUUGCGUUAUACGAGCGGCCGAUGUCAGAUUAGCUAGUUGGUGAGGUAAAGGCUCACCAAGGCGACGAUCUGUAGCGGGUCUGAGAGGAUGAUCCGCCACACUGGGACUGAGACACGGCCCAGACUCCUACGGGAGGCAGCAGUGGGGAAUUUUGGACAAUGGGGGAAACCCUGAUCCAGCCAUGCCGCGUGAGUGAAGAAGGCCUUCGGGUUGUAAAGCUCUUUCGGCCGGGAAGAAAUCGCACAGGCUAAUACUCUGUGUGGAUGACGGUACCGGCAUAAGAAGCAUCGGCUAAUUAUGUGCCAGCAGCCGCGGUAA
rnacentral:rRNA from 1 species